rnacentral:rRNA from 1 species
UACGUAGGGUGCAAGCGUUGUCCGGAAUUAUUGGGCGUAAAGAGCUCGUAGGCGGUUUGUCGCGUCUGCCGUGAAAGUCCGGGGCUCAACUCCGGAUCUGCGGUGGGUACGGGCAGACUAGAGUGAUGUAGGGGAGACUGGAAUUCCUGGUGUAGCGGUGAAAUGCGCAGAUAUCAGGAGGAACACCGGUGGCGAAGGCGGGUCUCUGGGCCGUAACUGACGCUGAGGAGCGAAAGCAUGGGGAGCGAACAGG